rnacentral:rRNA from 1 species
AUGAUGUUCUUCUCUACUUGUGCACGCGUGCAGGAAAUUUGGUGUCGUGUACAUUUCCUACUGCCAAUGCAAGACGCUGCCCGUGCUGCCUGUGUUUCUCACUCCUUCCUACACUCCUGGAGAUGCCAUCCCAAUCUGACCUUCACCAACGAAAUGAUGUGCCGCAAAGAAGAUUUAAAAGCAGCGAGAUCGAACGCUAUUAUAAGAGACAACAACAACAAAAUCGACUGUGUUCUGAGGAACCGCUCGUGCGCUGAUGCCGUGACGAAACUCAAGCUUGACUACCACGUUCCUCCAGAUGAUGUUGAACCGUAUCAUCGUCUUGAUAGCUGGCUCCAGAUGGCUGUUACACCGAUGACCAAAGAACUCGAGCUUCUAGUAUGGUCGAAAGAGGCGAGCUUUGAUUUCCCAUGCACACUACUAUCUGACAGGUGUGGGGGCUCGAUUCAGAAGCUUCUCCUUUUCAGAUGUGCCUUACUUCCCACAUUUCAACUUGGUUUGAGAAGCCUGAAAACGCUGCAUCUGCGCGAUGUGCGUGUUACGGGGGAGGAGUUAGGGUGCCUUCUGUCCAGUUCCACUACUUUGGAACACCUGAAGCUUGUAUACUGCGAUGAUAUUGUUCGCCUCGAGAUACCUUGCCUGCUGCUGCGGCUCAGCUUUCUGGAGGUGGCUGGAUGCAUGAAUCUUCAAGUGAUAGAGAACGAAGCUCCAAAUCUCUCCAGAUUUUACCUUGAAGCAGGUGAACUGGUGCAAGUCUCGUUUGGAGAGUCGAAAGUGAAGAAAGUGCAGUUGGUGCAGAGUUGUGCCAUCAGUUAUGCUAUUGACAACCUUCCUUCCCGUGCGCCGAAUCUUGAGACUCUUACCAUAUCUUCUACGUACUUGUGA